rnacentral:pre_miRNA from 1 species
UUGUGCAGGGUGGAGAAGCAGGGCACGUGAACAGCCAUCUAAUGGGAGCUUCGCUGUGCUUUGGAUGGUCGUCCAUGUGUCCGUCUUCUCCACCGAGCACUG